rnacentral:rRNA from 1 species
GACGAACGCUGGCGGCGUGCUUAACACAUGCAAGUCGAACGGAAAGGCCCUGCUUUUGUGGGGUGCUCGAGUGGCGAACGGGUGAGUAACACGUGAGUAACCUGCCCUUGACUUUGGGAUAACUUCAGGAAACUGGGGCUAAUACCGGAUAGGAGCUCCUGCUGCAUGGUGGGGGUUGGAAAGUUUCGGCGGUUGGGGAUGGACUCGCGGCUUAUCAGCUUGUUGGUGGGGUAGUGGCUUACCAAGGCUUUGACGGGUAGCCGGCCUGAGAGGGUGACCGGCCACAUUGGGACUGAGAUACGGCCCAGACUCCUACGGGAGGCAGCAGUGGGGAAUAUUGCACAAUGGGCGGAAGCCUGAUGCAGCAACGCCGCGUGCGGGAUGACGGCCUUCGGAUUGUAAACCGCUUUCGCCUGUGACGAAGCGUGAGUGACGGUAAUGGGUAAAGAAGCACCGGCUAACUACGUGCCAGCAGCCGCGGUGAUACGUAGGGUGCGAGCGUUGUCCGGGUUUAUUGGGCGUAAAGGGCUCGUAGGUGGUUGAUCGCGUCGGAAGUGUAAUCUUGGGGCUUAACCCUGAGCGUGCUUUCGAUACGGGUUGACUUGAGGAAGGUAGGGGAGAAUGGAAUUCCUGGUGGAGCGGUGGAAUGCGCAGAUAUCAGGAGGAACACCAGUGGCGAAGGCGGUUCUCUGGGCCUUUCCUGACGCUGAGGAGCGAAAGCGUGGGGAGCGAACAGGCUUAGAUACCCUGGUAGUCCACGCUGUAAACGGUGGGUACUAGGUGUGGGGUCCAUUCCACGGGUUCCGUGCCGUAACUAACGCUUUAAGUACCCCGCCUGGGGAGUACGGCCGCAAGGCUAAAACUCAAAGGAAUUGACGGGGCCCCGCACAAGCGGCGGAGCAUGCGGAUUAAUUCGAUGCAACGCGUAGAACCUUACCUGGGUUUGACAUGGAUCGGGAGUGCUCAGAGAUGGGUGUGCCUCUUUUGGGGUCGGUUCACAGGUGGUGCAUGGCUGUCGUCAGCUCGUGUCGUGAGAUGUUGGGUUAAGUCCCGCAACGAGCGCAACCCUUGUUCACUGUUGCCAGCACGUUAUGGUGGGGACUCAGUGGAGACCGCCGGGGUCGACUCGGAGGAAGGUGGGGAUGACGUCAAGUCAUCAUGCCCCUUAUGUCCAGGGCUUCACGCAUGCUACAAUGGCUGGUACAGAGAGUGGCGAGCCUGUGAGGGUGAGCGAAUCUCGGAAAGCCGGUCUCAGUUCGGAUUGGGGUCUGCAACUCGACCUCAUGAAGUCGGAGUCGCUAGUAAUCGCAGAUCAGCAACGCUGCGGUGAAUACGUUCCCGGGGCU